GUCCUUGGACUCAACAAAUAGUUAAUAGUUUUAAAAUUUGUUGGAUCUCCUUUCCAGAAUUUUAUAUCUUACAAGUUCUUGACAAUAAAUUACAUGAUCGUCCAAGUUAGUUUAAUCCCAGAAAAUAUCUAUUGAAGUUUUUUUGGGGGAUAAAACAAAAACUUCAGCCUUGAGAACAUAAGUUUCGUCAAUAGUCAUCUAGAUAUGCUACGAGGUUAAGCUCUAUAUAUAAAUCAUAAAUGUAUAGUCAUUCUAUCAAAUAUUUUCUUCUUGUCUGUUUAAUUCAUAUGCUCUUAACAGGUAUGAACCGAAAUUUGAGUAAUGUUAUCUUUUGUUAAUUUGUUUUUGUUUGAAUUCAACGAUUGCAGGGUGGGAGAUUGAACUAUCUAACCUUUAAAAUUGUAAUGGAUGCUUCUUUCUCUUUCUAAGAGACAUAAGAGAAUACAUUCUGCACAUGGUAUCAGAGUGGAAAUAGCAUUGGAAAAAAUCCUAGUUUUCUUAUAAACUAAAAAACCCUAGUUUGUGCCAUACGGCCACCACUAUCAACCUUCGUCCUCGCUGCCAAUCCUUCACAGCUCGUCGGCCACCACAUCUCCGUUUGAAAUCCCCGAUCUCCUCCGUCACUCGGGUUUAGCUGUUUUUCCUCUUUUUUCUUUUUUCCGCGGGUUCUAGUCGGCCAGUCUUGAGCCACCACCGUUGCCAGAUUUCUCCUCUCUUUUCUUUCUAGAACUUCUAUUUUUUCCUCUUGGGCCUGUAUUUCUUCAGUAAUAUGGUAGACAAGUCCACUACCACUAAAGUCUUAAACAGCCGCACCUUAGCCAACAGUCCCACUACUUAAAGCACUAUCAAUUAGCUUAAUGGGGAUAACUUUCCUCGUUGGCCCCAAAGUGUUUGGAUGUAUAUUCGUGGAUGAGGGAAGAUUGGUUACAUUACUAGAUAAAAUACCACCCCUUUAAGCCACCUGAUCCUUCAUUUGCCUGGUGGGACGCUGAAAACUCCGUUGUUAUGACCUGGCAAGUAAAUUCCAUGGUUGAAGACAUUAGUUAUAACUAUAUGUGCCUACACAACCAAGGAAUUAUUUGACUGUGUUACUCAAAUGUAUUCUGAUUUGGGCAACCAAUCACAAGUAUUUAAGUUGAAUCUUAAAUUAAGUGAUGUAAGAUAAGGAGACAACUCCAUUAUCCAAUACUGUUAGAUGCUAUAUUAAAUUUAUUCUUACCCACUAGCUUAAGCUUUUGGGUCAAUCGGUGAUUCAAGAUGAUAUCAGAGGAGGUUGGUUCACUUGAGUUCAAACUCCUGCAAUGUUAGUUCCUCCUCAAUUAAUAUCCACCUUAUCUUUUGUUUUCUUCAUUUUCAAUAAUAUUCAUUUUCACUUGUUGGAUAUUUCUCAUAUCUCAAGUGAGGGGGAGUGUUCAAUAUUAUAUUAAAUUUACCAUUACCCACUAGCUUAAGCUUUUGGGUCAAUCGAUGAUUUAAGAAAUAUUUUCACUUCCUAAAAAGGAUUUGGCUAGACCUUGAUCUCUUUGAUACAUAUGAAUGGAAGUUUAUAGAAGACCAAAAGCAUUAUAGGAAAUUUGUAGAUGACGCAUUUGCAAAUUCCUUUCUGCCCUCAAUGUUGAGUUUGAUAAGGUUAGAGGUAGGAUACUUGGGAAAACGACUCUUCCAUUAAUCAAAGAUCUUUUUUUUCUUGUAAGUUCGUUGGGAAGAAAGUCGAAUGUUAUAAUUGGCAAAAAAAACAUGUUGAUUCAGUUAGAGAGUUUUGCAUUGGUGACUGCAAGUUCUGCUUUGAAGGCAUCUCUAACUAGACACGUGAAAAAUAUCGUCUUGUGUGGUUAUUACAAUAAAUCUUGACAUACGUGUGAAACUUGUUGGAAACUUCAUGGAAAAUUUGCAAACUGGAAAAGUUCUAAGGAGAAGAUUUCUCAUCAACAUGCCUCUAAUGCUACUGUCUAGGACUCCAACCCUUUUAAUAAAGAACAAAUUGAUCAAAUCCUGAAGUUAUUGAAGACUAAUUCAUCAUUUGGUAAUCCUAGUGUUUCCUUGGCACAAUUAGCGAAUUGUUCUCAAGCCCUCUCUUGUCGUAUAUCCUUUCCGUGGAUUAUAGAUUCCAGAGCAUCGGGUCAUAUGACUAGUCGCUCUUUCCUUUUCGAAUCAUGCUCUCUUGUAUAUUGCAGUAAAAAAAAUUUGCAUUGUCGAUGGUAGUUUUAUAUCUAUUGCAGGAAAAGGAACUACUUAUUUGACAACAAAACUCUGUCCUUCAUGUUCCAAAAUUAACAUGCAUUCUGUUAUCUGUUAGUAAAAUCUCUAAGGAUGCUAAUUGUUGUGUUGCCUUUUGUAAAUCUCAUUGUACUUUCUAAAUUUAGGACUCGGGUAGAUGAUUCGAUGUGCUAUGAUGAUUGGUAGUCUAUAUUACUUUGAUGAAGUUUCAGUUAGUUAUAAAAUAGCUUGGGAAUUGGGUAGUGUUUGCUCUUUUGUUAAAGAAACUAUAAUGCUUUGGCAUCGUAGGUUGGGUCAUCCAAAUUUCUUUUACUUGAAGUAUUGUUUCCAAAUUUAUUUAAAGAUUUUGAUUGUUCAAUUUUUUUAAAGUGAAAGUUGCAUUUCUGCUAAACAUCAUCGACCCAAACCUUACGAGGGUUCCUCACCUUUUUACUUCAUUCACACUGAUGUGUGGGGUCCAUCUAAAGUGUUGGCUUACAGUGUUAAGCGUUGGUUUGUUACCUUGAUCACACUUGAUUUUAUCUUUUAACAAAGAAAAAAUGAAGGUAGAAGAGGUUUUUGUUUGGUUUUACAAUAUGAUUGAGGCCCAGUCUCAAACUAUAAUCCGCAUUCUUCACUUUGAUAAUAGUACUGAAUAUUUUAACGAACAAUUAACUUAUUUUUUGCAAGAUAAGGGUACAUCAAGCUACAUGUUGAGAUACUUCUUAGCAAAAUGACGUUGAGCGAAAAAGACAUUUACUUGAAGUUGCUCGGGCCCUUAUGCUUUCUAUGCAUGUACCAAAAUAUUUGUGGGGUGAUGCAGUCCUUAUUGCUGCAUACCUCAUAAAUCAAAUGGUAACCAAGGUUUUGAAUUUUAAAACUCCUCUGAGUCACUUCAAAAAGUUUUUUUUUUCUUUUUCUCUAAAUUUUGGCUGUUUUCUGACUUACAAAUAAAAGUAUUCGAGUGUAUUGUUUAUGUUCGUACUCUUUACCCUAUACUAACUAAACUUGAUCCUCUAGCUGUAAAAUGCAUUUUUAUAUGCUAUGUCUCUCAUAAGAAAGCUUUCAAAUAUUUUGACCCUUUGACCAAAAAGUUUUUGGAGCAUGGACUUUCUUUAAGCCCAAAUUGUCUUUAAAGGGAGACAUCUAACCUCGAAGAUAAUUUAUGGGAUACUUCACCUACCCCAAACAUCAUUGGUCUUGAAAUUAUGAGUUAUAAUCCUUUGAUGCAAAGUGUGGAAAGUUCUUCUUCGGGGGGAGAAACACUACAAAAACCUGAACUUCAGAUUUAUACUAGAAAAAACUUGCCUCAAAGUAAUCGAGAAUAGGUGGUUGAUCAUCAUAGGACCAAAUGAUCAUGCAAAUCCCAGUAAUAUACAUUCUCCUCAUAAUUCUCCCAGUACUUUUUCUCAUAAUUUUCCUAGUUCUCCUCAUAAGUCCUUACCCGAUGUCUCUAUUCUUGACAUUCCAAUUGCCCAUAGGAAAAUUUCCCGUCAAGGUGCCAGAUGUCAGGGGCAUAAUUGUCCAACGUAUUAGUUACCGUUGGUCAUAUGCCCGAAUACCCCCAAAUCACUUUAUCUUUAUGUCUUGAAAGUAGUUUAGGUUAAUUCUUUCGUUUAGGUGUCGCCGAGUCAUAGUGUGACAUUUCGGCUUUUUCAUAUGCAAGCCUGCCAAGGCCAAAAUUCUCAAUAUGUACUAUAGGGGGUACAUGAACAGUCCGACCCCCGCCCAAGCCUUGUAGCACUCUUUGCAUGCUGAGUUAUUUUCCUUGCAAUUGACAGUCUUCAAUGCUUUCUUUAUGACGUUUUCAAUUAUUUACUUUCUCUCUCCCGUUUUAUAAAAACAUUUUUCCAAGAACGGGGAGGGAGGCUACGUCAUACCGCGAGUUUGUCCGCGGAUUCCGAUUAUCGAACGGCUGACUUGCUGAUUGAGCUAAGCAAGUGCCGCACAAUCGUGUUGAGAAGUUACGAUUGUGACAAGUGGUAUCAGAGCCAAAUUGGCUAAUUGACGAUUACACCGAAGCAUGUCGUCGUCGAAUCCAUCGGGCAAGGCCCAGAGAGACCGACUAGUAGAGAUAGAGGAGCAGAUGCUCUACCUAGUCGAAGUUCCCGACUCCAUCCGCUACUUGGAGUCUCGUGUCGACGAAAUUUCUGAGAAAGCUAACAUGAUCGAUGCGGUAGCUGGCCGUGUCGAAGGGUUGCCAAUAAAAGAGUUGUUGGCAAGGGUUGACGCCCUAGAAGAAAACACCAACGCCAGAAGAACUAUUAACUACGAGCGUGGGGAGAGUUCUUCAGGUUUUGCUGCCCACAUGGAAGAACGCGUCAGUGAGCUUGAUAACACUCAGAAGACACUCUUAGAGAUGAUAAACGCCAUGUCGGAGGAUUUUAAAGUCACCCUCGAUGUCGUUAGAAAUGAAAUCGCGGACGUGAACGCAAGGCUGAGUCUCACGAUGCGAGCAAUGGCUAACCAAGCUCCAGCUGGAGGAGCAAUUUCGGUUAGCAAAGUAAAAGUCCCAGAACCAAAGCCCUUCUGUGGGGCAAGAGAUGCUAAGGCCCUGGAGAACUACAUUUUCGACCUUGAACAGUACUUCAAGGCUACAAACACUGUCGCCGAAGAAGCCAAAGUGACGUUGGCAACGAUGCAUCUGUCUGAAGAUGCAAAGUUGUGGUGGAGGUCCCGAUACGUAGACAUACAGGAAGGACGUUGCACUGUAGAUACGUGGGAUGCCCUGAAGAGAGAACUCCGCUCGCAAUUUUUCCCCGAGAAUGUGGAAAUCCUGGCUCGGCGAAAAUUGCGCGAUCUAAGACACACUGGCGAGAUUCGGGAGUACGUGAAGCAGUUCGCAGGGUUAAUGCUAGACAUCCGGGAUAUGUCAGAGAAAGACAAAGUUUUCUACUUUGUCGAAGGGCUGAAGCCGUGGGCGAGGGCCAAGUUGUAUGAACAAAGGGUCCAAGACCUCACGUCAGCAUAUGCAGCAGCCGAACGGUUGUUCGACCUGACAAGUGACUCUCAAGAUGCGAGGCGUAAUCAAAGUUUCUCACCAAGAAGGAAUAGGGAUAGUCGCCCGAGCUCUCCCAAAGCUGUCGGGGGAGACAGACGUUCUGGUAAGGACCGCAAACCUUACCAGCCAACCACCGAAAAUACAUGGCGGAGGCCGAAUGAUCGAAGCCCAACCAAGCGUCCCCUCAGUUGUUUCAUAUGUCAGGGGCCCCAUUUGGCAAGGGAAUGCCCGAACAAAGUCGACUUCCAUGCGUUUCAGGCCUCACUAAUUGCGGAUUCAGACGAUAAGUCAAAUCGUGCUGAGGACGAAGCGGACCUGGUAGAUGGAGGCGAGAAGACUCGGAUUGGGGCCAUAAAGUACAUGUCGUCUCUCCAGAAAAAGUCAGGGGAGAGACACGUACCAACAAAAGGGGGCCUAAUGUAUGUUGACACCUGGAUCAACCAAAAACAGACUAAGAGCACAAUGGUUGAUUCUGGUGCAACCCACAACUUUAUUACAGAGGCAGAAGCCAGGCGUCUAGGGCUCCGUUGGGAGAGGGAUUCAGGAAAGAUGAAAGCCGUGAAUUCCAUUGCCCUACCUAUCGUCGGAUUGGUGAAGCGAACGACGAUAAAGUUGGGAGGAUGGAGAGGCCCCGUAGACUUUGUGGUUGUAAAGAUGGACGACUUUGAUGUAGUGCUGGGAAUGGAGUUCCUCCUUGAACAUCAAGUCAUUCCAAUGCCGUCAGCCAAAUGUCUAGCGAUUACUGGAUCCUUCCCUACGGUAGUGCAAGCAGAUAUUCGGCAGCCUAACGGGUUCAGAAUGAUAUCGGCCAUGCAACUAGACGAGAGUCGCGCCCAAGAGGAACCACUGUCUGUGGAGAUCCUGCUUGGGGCGUUGGAAAAGCCGGGGGAGACAGUCCCCAAGGACACUCUGUGUGUCCCAGAGAAGUGCCAUGGUGUGAUGCCAAGUAGAUGGCCCAAGUCCUCGUUGAUGCGGAGGAGAACCGACCAUGGGGUAGAGUCGCCAUCAGAGGCAAACGCGCAUGCGAAAAAUGCUUAUCGCAUGGCGCCAUCGAAGUUAACCAAACUUCGGAAACCGUCAGAGAUGUUGUCGAAUACAGGGUGUAGUAUACCCGUACAAGCUCCGUAUGGAGCCCGCGUCCUUUCCCUGAAGAAGGAGGACAGAAGCCCACAACAGUGUGUUGAUGGCCGCCCACGUGGAGUGAAGCAUCUCCCAAAGUCAAACGACCGACCGAGGCAAUGUCGAGUAAGAACAAUGAAGGCAAAGGGACUCGAGAAAAAUUGUGUCACUAGGCAUGAAGCAUACGAGUCCCCCGUGGUGCCGUUGGGUCUUACUGAUGCCAAGGGAGGAAAGUGUUAUUCUGCGCAGGGCCAGGUGAGCGUGCUGAGUCAUGUGGGAGAGUGCCACCAGGGUGGGUCGUCGAGAGGAGAAGACACUCAGUGGAGCGAGAACCUCGAGUGUCAGGUCGCCUUCAAUGGUUCAAAGCAAGCCAUGAUCGAGGGGCCAAGUCUUGGGGUCGUCGGGGCGACCGAGACUCCUGAAGUCGAAGCCGAGCAACUCAGUUGUGUGCUCGCAGAACAGCUGCAUCAUUGUGUUGAUGGCAGACAAGAGAAUUGGGUUCAACUGCUGAAGGUAACCCAAUUCGGUUAUAGUGCUCAGACCGACUCGCUGAUCAAGAAAAGUCCGUUUGAGAUUGAAAAUAAGAGGCAUUCUGCAUUGCCGCUCAUCGCUGAUGGCCCUUGUCUAGGGAACCGCCCUCAAGUCCACCGAGUUGGAGAAGAAUGUGAACAGAUGGCCAACAUCGCUCAAGUGUGCCUAGAAGAAGCUUCAAGGCCGACGGAGGAGAGGGGAGAUCAAAAGCGAUGCCCCCUCGAGUUAGAGGGGAUGACCAAGCUUCCAAGUGACGGUGCAACGACGCCGUACGAUUGCCUGUCAACCUGGACCUGGAGGAAGACAGAGAAGUCGAGGAAGGCCUUGCUGACAGAGUAAGGACCUGUAGAAGGCCCACGAGGGAGAUACAUAAAUUCCUGGUGAAGCGGAAGAAGCCCUCGUGGAGGUAACCAGUGGAAGACCGUCGAAGAUUUUGAAGCGUGGAUGCAGAAGACCGAAGAGCUCCAGCUUCGCCAGUUGACGAGGACGUCAACCGUUUGAGUGGGGGAGAAUGUCAGGGGCAUAAUUGUCCAACGUAUUAGUUACCGUUGGUCAUAUGCCCGAAUACCCCCAAAUCACUUUAUCUUUAUGUCUUGAAAGUAGUUUAGGUUAAUUCUUUCGUUUAGGUGUCGCCGAGUCAUAGUGUGACAUUUCGGCUUUUUCAUAUGCAAGCCUGCCAAGGCCAAAAUUCUCAAUAUGUACUAUAGGGGGUACAUGAACAGUCCGACCCCCGCCCAAGCCUUGUAGCACUCUUUGCAUGCUGAGUUAUUUUCCUUGCAAUUGACAGUCUUCAAUGCUUUCUUUAUGACGUUUUCAAUUAUUUACUUUCUCUCUCCCGUUUUAUAAAAACAUUUUUCCAAGAACGGGGAGGGAGGCUACGUCAUACCGCGAGUUUGUCCGCGGAUUCCGAUUAUCGAACGACUGACUUGCUGAUUGAGCUAAGCAAGUGCCGCACAAUCGUGUUGAGAAGUUACGAUUGUGACACCAGACAUCCCAUUGCAAACUAUCUUUCUUAUCACAAAUUCUGCUUCGCAUCCAAAAUAAACAACCUAUUUAUUCCGAGGAAUAUACAGAAGGCCCUAAAUGAUUUGAAUUGGAAAGUGGCAGUAAUGGAAGAGAUGAAUGUGCUUGAAACAAAACUGCACAUGGGGCAUAGUUGAACUACCUAAAAACAAGAAAUCAGUUGGAUGUAAGCGAGUGUUUGCUGUAAAAUGUAAAGCUGAUGGCAGUAUUGAGAGGUAUGAGGUCAGAUUGGUUGCUAAGAAAUUUACUCAGACCUAAGAGUUGAUUAUCAAGAAAUAUUUGCUUCAGUUGCUAUAUGUUGCAGUUGAUUUUGGUUGGCCACUUUAUCAACUAGAUGUUAAGAAUGCCUUUCUCAAUGGGGAUCUUGAAAAAGAGGUAUUUAAUAGAUUUGCUACCUGGUUUUGAGGCAGAUCUCGGAAUUAACAAAGUGUGCAAGUUGAAGAAAUCAUUAUAUGAGUUUCCUAGAGUUUAAAAAGCAGUCACAAGCUAUGGAUCUAGUCAAAAUCAAGUUGAUCAUACUAUGCUCUAUAAACAUAGAGGAAAUGUCUAGGUUAUUGUUUUGAUAGUUUACGUUCAUGAUAUCAUUUUUACAGGCAAUGAUGAGACAUGACUGACUUUCUUGAAGAAGUUAGCUGAUGAUUUCCAAAUCAAAAACCUAGGAACUAUAAAAUAUUUCCUAGACAUGGAGUUUGCUAGGUUUAGAGGUGGCAUUCUUGUCAACCAAAGGAAAUAUAUUCUUGAUCUAUUGAAAGAAAUAGGUUUACUUUGCUGUAGGGUGGUUGAAACUCUUAUCGAGCAGAACUUGAGAUUGGAAGCUGCUGUUGAAAAAGAAAUAAAAGAAAAAGAGAAGUAUCAAAUAUGGGGAUACUUACAUAUCUCGAUCACACACAUACUGACAUCACUUUUGCAGUUUGUAUGGUAGUACAGUUGAUAAAAGAGCCACUUCUGGUUAUUCCUCCUUUGUGGGAGGAAGUCUAGUUACUUGAUGAAGUAAAAAACAGAGUGUGGUUGCAAGAACUAGUGCAGAAGCAGAAUUUAAGGUUGAUACCCAUGGUAUUUGUGAGGGCUUAUGGAUAAGAAGAUUAUUGGAAGAAUUGAGAUUCUCCUAGACAAUGCCUAUGUGCAUUUAUUGUGAUAACAAGGCAACAAUUUUCAUUGCCCACAAUGCAGUCCUUCAUGAUAGGACGAAACAUAUUGAAGUUGACAGACACUUCAUGAAGGAGAAGAUCGUUCAAGGAAUAAUAUGCAUCCCUUAUCUUUCAAGAAUAGAACAAAUCGUAGAUGUGUUGACUAAAGGUCUUCCAAAAUAGCUAUUCAACAACUUAAUUGAAAAGUUGGCUAUGGAUGAUAUCUUCAAACCUGCUUGAGGGGGAGUGUUGAUUAUUUUCUUUAUUGUUAAUAUUUUCAUUGUAUUAAAUUUACGUUUGUGUAUUUUUUUUCCUUUUUUGUAUUUUCUUACUUAGUAUUGGGUAUUUUUCUAUUUAAUAAAACCCUUUCUUUCUAAGAGAAAUAAGAGAAAAUACAUUCUGCAAAA